UGGUCUUGAUGUUACUGUUACAUUGAUUGGACCUGAAGUUACAUUGACAGGAGGUCUUGAUGUUGCUGGCACAUUGAUUGGACCUGAAGUUACAUUCACAGGUGGUCUUGAUGUUACUGUUACUUUGAUUGGACCUGAAGUUACAUUGACAGGUGGUCUUGAUGUUACUGUUACAUUGAUUGGACCUGAAGUUACAUUGACAGGAGGUCUUGAUGUUCCUGGCACAUUGAUUGGACCUGAAGUUACAUUGACAGGUGGUCUUGAUGUUGCUGUUACAUUGAUUCGACCUGAAGUUACAUUGACAGGUGGUCUUGAUGUUGCUGGCACAUUGAUUCGACCUGAAGUUACAUUGACAGGUGGUCUUGAUGUUGCUGGCACAUUGAUUGGACCUGAAGUUACAUUGACAGGUGGUCUUGAUGUUGCUGUUACAUUGAUUGGACCUGAAGUUACAUUCACAGGUGGUCUUGAUGUUACUGUUACUUUGAUUGGACCUGAAGUUACAUUGACAGGUGGUCUUGAUGUUACUGUUACAUUGAUUGGACCUGAAGUUACAUUGACAGGAGGUCUUGAUGUUGCUGGCACAUUGAUUGGACCUGAAGUUACAUUGACAGGUGGUCUUGAUGUUGCUGUUACAUUGAUUGGACCUGAAGUUACAUUGACAGGAGGUCUUGAUGUUGCUGGCACAUUGAUUGGACCUGAAGUUACAUUGACAGGUAGUCUUGAUGUUGCUUUUACAUUGAUUGGACCUGAAGUUACAUUGACAGGAGGUCUUGAUGUUGCUGGCACAUUGAUUGGACCUGAAGUUACAUUGACAGGUGGUCUUGAUGUUGCUUUUACAUUGAUUGGACCUGAAGUUACAUUGACAGGAGGUCUUGAUGUUGCUGGCACAUUGAUUGGACCUGAAGUUACAUUGACAGGUGGUCUUGAUGUUGCUGUCACAAUGACUGUACCUGAAGUUACAUUCACAGGUGGUCUUGAUGUUACUGUUACUUUGAUUGGACCUGAAGUUACAUUGACAGGU
ensembl:lncRNA